GACGUAGGGGGCAAGCGUUGUCCGGAAUCAUUGGGCGUAAAGCGCUCGUAGGUGGUUCGGUAAGUCUGCAAUGAAAGACCCGGGCUCAACUCGGGGAACGGUGUGGAUACUACCGAUCUUGAGGCAAUCAGAGGAUGAUGGAAUUCCCGGUGUAGCGGUGAAAUGCGUAGACAUCGGGAGGAACACCAGUGGCGAAGGCGAUCAUCUGGGGUUGUUCUGACACUGAGGAGCGAAAGCUAGGGGAGCAAACGGG
rnacentral:rRNA from 1 species